CACCCCCCCAGGAAGAUAACCCCCACCCCCUCCAAGGAACCCCCAACCUGCCCCCAGCCGUGGGCCCAGGCCCCUGGUCUGGCAUACAGUGAAUGCCAGAGCGAAGGAAGCCCGCAGAGUCGCUUGGGAAAAUCAGAAUAACAGAAAGAAAUGGAAAAUCAAAAUCCCCCACCCCCCCAGGAAGAUAACCCCCCACCCCCACCCCACCCAAGGAACCCCCAACCUGCCCACAGCCGUGGGCCAAGGCCCCUGGUCUGGCACGCCGAUGUGAAUCGCGCGAGGCGGGACCGCAGAAUCGCCAGCGACAAUCAGUUUAUUCUGGGGAGGCUGCUACCAUUGGCGCGGAACGAGGAGGAGAGGCGCCGCCUCCGCCAAGUUUACGGUCCUAACUAAAAUGAAGAGAACCCCGUCAAGAAUAACAGAAAGAAAUGGAAAAUCAAAAUCCCCCACCACCUCCCCACCCC